rnacentral:rRNA from 1 species
UACGGAGGGUGCAAGCGUUGUCCGGAUUUAUUGGGUUUAAAGGGUGCGUAGGCGGUCUUUUUAAGUCGGCGGUGAAAUUACUGAGCUCAACUCGGUGACUGCCGUUGAUACUGGGAGACUUGAGUAUUGACGAAGAGGGCGGAAUUAAGGUGUAGCGGUGAAAUGCAUAGAUAUCUUCAAGAACACCGAUUGCGAAGGCAGCUCUCUAGGGAAUAACUGACGCUGAGGCACGAAAGCGUGGGUAGCAAACAGG